UGGGGAAUAUUGGACAAUGGGCGCAAGCCUGAUCCAGCCAUGCCGCGUGAGUGAUGAAGGCCCUAGGGUUGUAAAGCUCUUUCACCGGUGAAGAUAAUGACGGUAACCGGAGAAGAAGCCCCGGCUAACUUCGUGCCAGCAGCCGCGGUAAUACGAAGGGGGCUAGCGUUGUUCGGAUUUACUGGGCGUAAAGCGCACGUAGGCGGACUAUUAAGUCAGGGGUGAAAUCCCGGGGCUCAACCCCGGAACUGCCUUUGAUACUGGUAGUCUUGAGUUCGAGAGAGGUGAGUGGAAUUCCGAGGGUAGAGGUGAAAUUCGUAGAUAUUCGGAGGAACACCAGUGGCGAAGGCGGCUCACUGGCUCGAUACUGACGCUGAGGUGCGAAAGCGUGGGGAGCAAACAGG
rnacentral:rRNA from 1 species